UACGGAGGGUGCGAGCGUUAUCCGGAUUUACUGGGUUUAAAGGGUGUGUAGGCGGAAUAUUAAGUCAGUGGUGAAAUCUUCAGGCUCAACCUGGAAACUGCCAUUGAUACUAUUGUUCUUGAAUACUGUGGAGGUGAGCGGAAUGUGUCAUGUAGCGGUGAAAUGCAUAGAGAUGACGCAGAACACCGAUUGCGAAGGCAGCUCACUACGCAGUUAUUGACGCUGAGGCACGAAAGCGUGGGGAUCAAACAGG
rnacentral:rRNA from 1 species